GAUUGAAGGCUGAAAUUCGCCUUCAUGAAGCCGGAAUUGCUAGUAAUGGCAGGUCAGCAUACUGCCGUGAAUACGUUCCCGGGCCUUGUACACACCGCCCGUCACACCAUGAGAGUUGGGAAUACCCGAAGCCUGUGAGCUAACGAAAGAGGCAGCAGUCGAAGGUAGAAUCAAUGAUUGGGGUGAAGUCGUAACAAGGUAUC
rnacentral:rRNA from 1 species